rnacentral:lncRNA from 1 species
CCUCACCUGCAAAUCGUCCUGUGGACAGCUACUCACAGGGUCCUGGGAGCUUGCGAUGGGAGUGGGGCCCUUAGCCGGAGCAGGGAACUCCCAGAGAACAGGUCAGGAGGAUGAGCCUGCUGCCAGGCUUGUCUAGACCAGCAGACUACCGCUGCUCCCGUCUGGCCACCCAGUGGGAGGGAUGAAGGCAAGAUGCUCUUCUUCCCAUUUUACAGCCAGGACUCCCUGUAAAGGAGCAUCGGUUACGGAAGAAUCUUCCUUUGGAUGUUUGCCACUAUUUGAAUCCUGGGGUAGAGAUGGGGGUGGAGAGUGGAGGAGCUGUUAAAAUCUGUAUUCUCAC